CUUGUUUCAAGAUUCCUAUUUCAAAAAUUUAUUUCACAUUCAUGAUUAUAUAUGCAUCAUAGAUGUGAAACUUUCAUUGCAAGCAUGUACUUUUUCCGUUGCGGACUAAAGAAGUUAUGGCUAGUGGGUAGCUACGCCCUCCAACAGGUUGGCUCCUUGGUCCUCGUCAGAUAUUAAGAAAGGGAUGUGUUACCCAAAGUAUGAUCCCCAAUUGAUAGAACAUAAAACAGAGAAUGUAUAUCAUCACUAUUUAUAUAUUCACAUUAAUAUUGCGGAUCAAAGUGUUGCUUAAACCUCAUAACAUAGCCAAAAGGGAAUAAUAUGAAUUGUUCAAAACCUGCUAGAAAAUCAUAUUGCAGUGUCUUCAGUAGAGAACUAACUGCAGUUUCGAGAUUCAUGAGAGGAAGUAUAGAUAUUCACAAUCAUAACCCAGUUUUGAAAGAUCUAAAAGGCAAGCAAAUUUCUUGAUGGGAACUCAGCAAUCUAUGGAAAUGCAGGUUUGAGCAACGGCAGAGCUAUCGACUUUGCUUACGAAUGGAUUAAUCUUAACCCAAACGAGAGAGAAGACAGAGGCCAAAAGUAUGGACCAGAGAACAACAAUGGUUGGUGUUCUGUUCUGGCGACCCAUGAGACCCUUGAGGAAUGGAUAGAGAUGGAGA
rnacentral:misc_RNA from 1 species